rnacentral:lncRNA from 10 species
GGGGAUGGUGCUAAACCAUUAGAAACCACCCCCAUGAUCCAAUCACCUCCCACCAGGCCCCACCUCCAUCACUGCGAAUUAUAAUUCGACAUGAGAUUUGGGAGAUGACACAAAACCAAACCAUAUCAGUCUUUAAAGAGUUAAGUUAAAAUAAGCUCUUUAAAGUGGGCCCUAAUCCAGUAUGACUGGUGUUCUUAUAAGAAGAGGAGAUUUGGUCACAGACAUGGUUGCAUGCAGAAUAAAGACUUUUCGAGGACACACUGAGAAGGCAGCCAUCUGCAAAACAAGGAAAGAGUCCUCAGCAGAAACCAGUCCUGCAGACUCCUUGAUCUUGGACUUCCAGCCACUGCAAUUGAUGUCAAGCUUCAGCACCCUUGCAUCUCUGGAUAAAUGAAAUGUCACCCCAGCUGCCGUCCUUGUUCAGAUCUGUGCAAUAAAGAGCAAAGCAUAAAACCAAGUCAAGGCUUUGAGGGAGUGACCUACAAAAUGCAUAAUGUGAAACAAUGCAAAAGCGAAAGGUGCAAAAUCCCCAUCAAAGAGCUGGAGGCUGACAGAUGCGCCAGUGAUAAUUCCCAUCUUCCAACACAGGAGCACAGCUUCCAUUUUCCAUAACAGAACAACAGCCAGAGCAGCUGGAAGGCAGGGCCGCAUCCCAGACUUCCACCAACAAUGGGAUGAGACUUGACAUCUGGAAUCACAACCACAACAGACCUGAGAGACCCACCAGCUUGAUGACAAGCUUCUUCUUUCAAAGAAAGGUAUCAGUCUGGGGGACCUAGUGCUGCAAACCAUGACAAAUUAAGUGUGGCAUCCCUCACUUGCAUAAUGGAACUCAGUGAUAUUUUUUAAUUAACAAGAGUUAUUUUUAUGUAAGCUUCUCUCAUUCCUCCACUGUGCGUGCUCGGGGGCUGGUGGUGAGGAAAAAGAAAACAGCUGUGCGGGAAGCAUCAAGAAAAGGCAAGUCAUGAAGUCUUAGAGAUCAGUGACAUGUAAGAAAAAGAGUGAGGAGAAAAAUAUUCCUACUAAAGUUUUCCAUUUGUUUACCUUCCUUGUCACAUAGACUUCCAAGAGUUAGAAGUCUAGGAUUUGAUCUCCAAAUCUUCCUGGCAGAUUACUCAUCUUCAUUUCAUUCAUAUAGUCCAGGGGUUUGUACAAAGGAAGAUGCCAGUUCUUCCCCAAUCAUAACUAAGAUAUCAAGAGAUAUUCUUUUGAAAUGUAACAAAGGAGAUCUGAAGUUCAUCUGAAAAAAAUAAAUGGCACAUUUUUACCUAAUAAAGGAAGGUGGUAUGGAGCAAGCGAAUGUGACUGUCAGUCAAGCAAGCUUGAUGCAUCAUUCCCCGCUUCCACACCUCCAUGCCCCAACACAAUCCCUGACCUUCCUCUGCCCACUGGAGCACCCCACCUGGACUGUGUGUGCCACAGUUCCCUUCAUUAGCUCCCCCCACACACUAGCUUUCACAUGGACACUCCCUGAGCAAGUAGCGCUGAGCUGAGCCCAGCCCUCUUCCUCCCCAUUUCCGGUAAGUUUUAGGCGGUCAUGACCAUGGGAUGCUGGACCAGGAUGGUAAGCUUCAGGAAACAGAAUCUGGAGAAUGCCCAGCUGCUCCCACAGGAAGCAUCAGGGAAGAAGAAGAAGAGGUGUGAAGUCUGCCUUCUGCUCUGCUGGGAUCCCUUUCACAUCUCCUUUGCCUCCAGGCAGUUUUGGUUCCUGGCCAUUUCCAGGUGUGACUCACUCAGGAUGGUAAGCAUCUUCUCUCCUACCCAGAGUAGAGGAUGAAGACCUCAUCUCAGAGGUUGAAGGGAGCUCCAGAGAGAGGUCUCAAACUUCCAGCAUUAACUGCUAAAGAAGCUUCAUGAGCUGCUGGAGAACCUGGGAAAUGACCAAUUAUAGGGACAGAGCUCAAAUACUCUGGGACACUCUAGUAGCUGAGAAAGUUCCAACUCCAGGGUGAUAGAGGACUGCCUGGCAAACCAUCAUCAAAGCAGAAGACCUGAUACUAACAUCACAGGCUAUGGUUUAUUACUGAAGAUCAGUGCUUACACCCUGCCAGAGGUUCAGAAGCAAACUUAUCAUUGUUCUCCCUGGAGAUGUUGGCCCACAUUCUGAAAAGUGUGGUCAGUAGUAGCAACAGAAAGCAAUUGUGCUUGCCAAGCACAAUGUCACUGUCCCCAGCCCUUCCCCCAACACAACCCAGUAGGUGCUUCCUGGCUGCAAACUUGGGAAAGUCACUUGACCUGUCUGAGGUUCCACUUCCUAAUCUGGCCUGGCGAAGAUAAGAAAAACAGUUUAUUUAAAGUGUCUAGCAAAGUGCUUGGACCAAAAUAGGACCUCUGAAAUGGUUAUGGUAGUGCUGUUAAGGUGAUGUUUUAAGUGCUGAUGAGCACAAAGAUGGGUAAGAUAUUCCUUCUGUUAAAAUCUACAGUCUAAUGAGAGAGAACAAGAUGAAUGCACAAUAACUGUCAUUCAGAACAGGAUUAUGAGAAGGUGUGAAUUUCUGUGAAAAAUCAGAACAGGGAGUAAUAUGAUCCCAGGUGAUUGGCAGGGGGUGGGGGUCUGGAUUCAACUGGAGAGGGAGCUGGCAGGGAAGGCUUCCUGGAGGAUGAGAGUUCAACAAGGGGCAGGUGUAGGAUGUGGGUGGCCAAGUGACUGGGCAGAAGGAGCUGCAGAAGUAAGACCCCAAAUCAGGAAGACAAGGGCCUGCUGAGAAACACGAGCUACAAAGUGCAAGUGCAGGAAGAGUUGGGAUGAGAUUAGAAGGGGGUCUGGGGCCAGACUGUGGAAGGCCCAAAUGCCGGGCUAAGGAGUUUGUACUUAAUUCAGUGGUCAACGGGGAGUCAUUGGAGGCUGUUGAGCAGGAGAGUUGCUUUCUUUACAGCUGUGCCAGACUAAAUUAAACCUAAACAGUACUUUAUAGCUGGAAAGGGAAGGCCCAGGAAUAGCUCUUGACUCAGAAACAGGCAUUGGGGAAGGUAAUGAGAAACAGCCGUGACUGAUCAAAGCAGAGAGGUUAAUUAAAUUUGUAAUUAUUGUGAAAGGCCAUUAAAAACCCUAGUUCACUAGAGAUAACUGCUCUAGUGGGGCUUCAAAGACAAACGCUUCUUUUAACCUUGAAUAGGGGGAUGUUUGCUUCUCUGUGGAGGAGAUAUGAUUAAGAUACUUAAUAAAUGGUAGAUAAACAUGCACACGUGUGUGUUCUCUGUAAACCCACUCUUCGUCCCUGCAUAUAUCUGUGUAGCUAUGUAGGGUGCUCCACAAGAGGGGUCCCCAGCCCCCAGGCCAUAGAGCGUUAUGGGUCCAUGACCUAUUAGGAACCAGGCCACACAGCAGGAGUUGAGCAGAGGGCAAGCAAGCAAAGCUUCAUCUGUAUUUACAGUC